rnacentral:misc_RNA from 1 species
AGUUAAUGAAAAAGACAAAUCUAAGGAUUCUUCCAAGAAGAAAAUUUGCAAUGGUAACAAGGCCAAUGCUACUGGUAAUGAGAAAAGGCAUCUUGGAUUUGUCAAGGUGAAUAUGGAUGGGGUUCCAAUUGGAAGGAAGGUAGAUUUGAAUGCUCAUGCUUCCUAUGAGACGCUUGCACAAACCCUGGAAGAAAUGUUUUUCAGGUCCACCCCAACCAUCAGUUCGAUGGGUGGAGAGAAGCAACAAUCAGC